rnacentral:lncRNA from 1 species
GAGUGAAAGCACCCGCCAAUUGGCCGAAAAACGCCGCCGAAGCUCAGCGGUGCCGCCGCGGGGUGUUUCAGUUUUUGCCUCCGACGAGGCCCUUUUCGAUUCCCAUUCGAUGUGAUUUUUCCACUGUUGUGGUCACCGUUUCCUCCUCUACAGGUUGACCGGAGCAAAACACCCAACCGUAACAUGAGCCGGAGGAGACGCCGCACUAGAGAGUUCCACUGCCGGUGAGUUUCAGUUUUCUACAUUUUUUCAGCCCACCGAGGGCCCUAAGUGUGUUUUCUCACGGGAAUCGAUGCAAGUUUGGCUGAAUUUGGUCGAAAAUAGCCAAUUCGAGGCGGAUCACCGACGCGAACAGCAGCACUGUCACUGGAGCACGACGAAGCCACCGUGCUGAAAUUCUAAAAUUGGCCGAGUAGGCCCUGGGUAUGAUUUUUUAGGUUAUUUGGGACAUGUGUAGGUACCGUAAGCGCAUUUCAGUUUCUGAGAAAAAAAUUCAGAGAACUCAGGGACCGCCCGUAGGUGAAGUGACAAUCCAAUUUUCAGCGUUGAAUCAAGUAAGGACCCCUCACCCUAUUUUCUAUCAUAGAUGUGAAGUUUGAAUAAAUUAAAUAGAUAUGCAUAAUUAAUUAUGAUUGCUAAGGGAGCCCGAACCAGACAUUAUUCUCUGUCAACUCCUGUUUGAUUUAUUUUAUAGUUUAAAUGCAUUAUGGUAUCCGGCUUAUCUAUUCUAUGAUUUUAAGUGCAUGUAUCACUUACUUCACUACUGUUGAUUUGGUGACGAAGAUUGAGGAAAAAUAGGAAGGGAUGUGAUCUGAUAAAUGGAUAAGGUAACAGCCUCACUAGAUAUCCUGGGAGAUGGUGGACGGACCGGGUUCAUAGGAAACCCUACCGUGAACGUCGUCUCAUACCGAACGGGGUAUGGAGACUUGGUCAUUUAGCGCUCAUACCGGACAGGGUAUGGGGAUGGCCCGCUUCAACCUCAUACUGGAUGGGGUAUUGAGGUUUAAUGUCUUGGCGCUCAUACCGGACGGGGUAUGGGGAUGGCCCUGGAAUUAAGACUGUUGAGAAGAAGGGUUCACGUGUAGCAGGGACACUCCUAUGGAUCCCCAAGAAUAUUAUUGGGCUGGUGAAAAUGAGAAACAGUGAUAAUCAGUUAUUGUUAAUGAAUACG